GUUAAAUAGUUGGCAACGACAGCAGAGACGGAUCACAUUUCCUGGUGAUAGAGUAAUACUAUACGUUGAAAGAAGAAGUUUCUAGUAUUCAUAAUGUUUAAACCCCUUUUGCAUUACGACAUGAAGACUAUGAUAGAGAAAAAUGAAAAACACUCUCAGAGCUUUGCAUUCUUACACUUAAUCGUCCAGCUUUUGAGCAGGGACUUACCAAGGUAGUGACAAAUUCAUCAUAGAAAUUGCAGGUCUUUUCACAGGACUGGGACAUGGUUCUUUAUGAAACCUUCUUGCUAUCAGAACGUGACAACGUACGAUCCAGUGAUUGCAAUUGAGAACGAAGGUUUUGGUUUUCCUCAAGUAACCGGUCAUAUUCAAGAAGAAAUCCUUCUGACUGCUUUUUUAGAGCACCUGCAUUGGCUUCAGCACUGCUUGCUUCUUUGGCCUUCUCCUCCAGUUCUAACUCCAGCUGCCUAAUUUUUUCACGCAAUGCACUUGCCUCUCCCUCCAAAGUUUUGAUCUCCUCUGAAGCCCCAUUCUUUCCAUCCUCAAAGGCUCUGUUUUGCUUUUUCACAGCUUCCAUUGUCUUCCUCCUCAUACUAAGUUCUCUUAUAUAAUGGUGUAGUCUAUCAAUCAUAAAGGCAAGGAAGAGGGAGAACUCAAGAAGAAGGUGGAGGCUAAAAAUUCAUUGGAGAACUACGCUUAUAACAUGAGAAACACAGUGAAGGAUGAGAAAAUUGGUUCUAAGCUUAGCUCGGACGACAAGAAAAAGAUUGAGGAUGCCAUUGAUCAGGCAAUUUCAUGGCUUGAUAGCAACCAGCUUGCUGAAGCUGAUGAGUUUGAAGAUAAGAUGAAGGAACUGGAGAGCCUAUGUAAUCCCAUAAUUGCAAAGAUGUACCAGGGUGCUGGUGGUGAGGCAGGUGCACCUAUGGAUGAUGAUGAUGCUCCUCCAGCUGGUUCUACCGGUGCAGGCCCCAAGAUUGAGGAGGUCGAUUAAGUGUGAACAGUUCUAGUUUUAUUCUCAGUAUAAACUAUUCUAUUAUAUUUGGUACUUUUUUAUGUUUUUGCUAUAUCGGUUUCGUCUAUUUAUUAAGCUGUUGAAUGUUGAUGGCUCUUUAUAUGAGUUCCAUCGAUUUUGAAUUUUAAAUGACUAUCCGUUGUUUGGAAACUCUUAGGCUGAAAUUGUCUUUACAAGUGCUCUUAUCUGGCCUACGACUUUGUAUUACUGGUCUAUAUUUUCCAAGUUAAUACGGUGGAAAAGAUAUUUGAGAACAGCUUAU
rnacentral:misc_RNA from 1 species